UAAAGUUUGUAUACAGCUCUAAGUAAAUUUAUAAGUGCUUUUGGUUAAUUAGUAGUUUUCCUCGGUGAUAACUUUGAAACCUACUGCGAUUUUCAGAUGCUGUCAGGAGAAAACAUUGAGAAACAUCGGCUGAGAAUAUGAAGAAGGAACUCAAUCAAGAAGUGGCUGCAGCAAGCCACACCCAGAUUGAUGAAGAGGUCUAACAGACAGCAAGCAACACCCGCUGCUGAAGAGUGUUCUGAUGACUGAAUACUGUACGAAUUGUAAUUUAAACCUGUGUAAAUAUUUUCAGAAUAUAAAAUGUUAAGUGCA